GGAUAUUGCAGGGGAUGGACCCAGAGGGAUGCGGGGGAAGAGGGUCUGGUUCUCUCUAGGGUGGUUCUGGUCCCCUCUGCGUCAUGCUUGGGAGUGGCCAGAGCCUCCUGGCAUAGUCAACAUGAGCAGUGGUCCCGGUUCCUUUCUUUUCUCCUCUCCCCAAGUGCUAUCCUGUUCAUGCCUGUGCUCAGAGCUUCCUCCCUUCUCUCCUGGGCUGUAGCUGAGGCUUGGAAAGGAGAAGGUCCCUGUUUCCUGCAGCUGAUCUGAUCUGGAGACACCCCCGUGUAGACUCUGGUUACAGCCAGAUGCUCAGGUUGCCGAGGGACUGCCGUAUGAUGACAACAUAAUGAGCAAAGUGAGGAGCUCUGAGCCAUUAAUACGGCUGCCCGGCUGAGGUACCAAACUGAUUGAACAAUACUUGAAAGGCUGAGGCUGGGGAGGCCAGUGGGGCUGGGUGGCCCUGCAACCACGUGGCUGCCUGUUGUCUUCCUUCAACUGCUGGAGGAUUUAAACAAUGUUCUUCAAAUGAGGUACUAGUGCUCAAGGACAGGGGCUGCCCCAGGCAAGGAGAGUAGCCUGGGGAGUUACCGGAAAAGCACCUACUGAAUCACCCAGCUACAGGAGCGGAGCGAGGGAGCAGGUGUGCACCAUCACCCCAGGUGUCUCAGAUGUAGGCUCCAUGAAUGCAGGGGCAAGAACGGAGGCCCAGCACCCAGGACUUGAGGUACGUGCGGAUGCGCUUGCGGGCCCGCUCCUGGAACUCAGGGAACUGCCGGCUGCAGGACUCGAUGAUGGCCUGGAUCUUCUCCUUGGGCUGCUUGGAGAUGGGCACCAUGCGGUCCAGGUUCUCGUCCACAAAGAGACGCACAAACAUCUGUGGAGACACGGGCCAUGGGAAGGGCUGGCCCUGGCCUUGCCCCCAUCCCACCCCACCUGUUUCCGGCCGGUGCUCACGUUGAAGGCCUUAAGACGCUCAGGGUCCAUGC
ensembl:lncRNA novel transcript, antisense to NOL4L